CCUACGGGUGGCAGCAGUGGGGAAUAUUGCACAAUGGGGGAAACCCUGAUGCAGCGACGCCGCGUGAGCGAUGAAGUAUUUCGGUAUGUAAAGCUCUAUCAGCAGGGAAGAAAAUGACGGUACCUGACUAAGAAGCCCCGGCUAACUACGUGCCAGCAGCCGCGGUAAUACGUAGGGGGCAAGCGUUAUCCGGAUUUACUGGGUGUGAAGGGUGCGUAGGCGGAAUGACAAGUCUGAUGUGAAAAUCCGGGGCUCAACCCCGGUACUGCAUUGGAAACGGUCAGGCUAGAGUGUCGGAGAGGCAAGUGGAAUGCGUAGUGUAGCGGUGAAAUGCGUAGAUAUUACGAGGAACUCCGGUGGCGAAGGCAGCUUACUGGACGAUGACUGACGUUGAGGCUCGAAAGCGUGGGGAGCGAACAGGAUUAGAUACCCGGGUAGUC
rnacentral:rRNA from 1 species